GGGUCAUAAGGUUGGUCGUGCCACCGGUACGUACUGGUCUCACUGAUUCCUCCUUCCUGAAGAACCGUAAUGCCAUUAAAUUGGUGUUGCGGGGAAACAGGACUGUUACUUUGAAAAAAUUAGAGUGUUUAAAGCAAGCUAACGCUUGAAUACAUUAGCAUGGAAUAAUGAAAUAGGACGAUCGAUCCUAUUUUGUUGGUUUCUAGGAUUGACGUA
rnacentral:rRNA from 1 species